rnacentral:miRNA from 1 species
ACACACACACACACACACACACACAUAUAUAUAUAUAUGUAUGUAUAUGUGUGUGUGUGUGUGUGUGUGUGUGU